AAGUCGUAACAAGGUUUCCGUAGGUGAACCUGCGGAAGGAUCAUUACCGAGUUAGGGUCUCCUCCGUGAGGCCCGACCUCCCAACCCUGUGUCUAAGAAACCUGUUUGUGUUGCUUCGGCGGAACGGCAGUGACCUGACCCCCCCCCCUUCACCGGGGGGGACGGUUGUCCGUCGCCGGGGGACUUACGGUCUCACGACCGCCCCUGGAGAGCGUCCGCCGAUGGCCCCAACCAAAAAAACUACCAAACCCAAAUUGUGAAACAACUUCUGAAUCAGACCUUUUGAUACACCAAUCAAAAACAAAACUUUCAACAACGGAUCUCUUGGUUCUG
rnacentral:misc_RNA from 1 species